CACCUCAGCAAGUGUUGCCAUGGCAACCCUCCCUGUUAUUCAUAGUCCACCAGCCACCUCUCAUCUUCAGUCCAGCCCUCCCUCUCUUGUCCUCCAUUUCUAUCAUCUUCCCAAGCUAGGCUCAUCAAAAGGAAGUCUGAGUCCUGCUCUGAGAGACAACAACAAAUUCCAGCUGCAGCAAAGGGCACACAUCCUGCCAUCAUGCCACAAGUUACCCACCUGAAGCCACAGUUACACACAGUGACUCCUCCACCCAGUUCCAAUGCUACCCCAAUAACCUUCAGCUUCCUGCCCACUACCACACUGCUCCCGUGGGAGGAGGUGCACAUGCAGGUGCACACCAUCCUGAUUGUCAUCAUUUUUUGUGUUGUCUGCUUCCUGCUCCUGCUUGCCUUCUUCUACGCCUUCUGCUUCCAUUGUUCCAUCGGUUCGUUGCCUAAAGACACGCGCUCAGACAACAGAUGCAGCCUAGACCGUGAGGACGCCACCUACAAGUGCAGCUCCACUGAUACCCAGUCAGUGGGGAACGUUGUCUGACUGGAGCACCGUACCCGGAUAACUGCUAUCUGACUGUCCAUCAAUGUAUUUUGUUGUGUGUUGCAGCACCAUGAGGCAGAUAGUAAUUACACCUUCCUUAAACCAAAGCAUGGAAUUUGAGAUGUUGGUUUAACUCCCAUGUUGAUUUGAUAUUUGUUUUUGAUUUUUGAAAUAACAGUAGCAAGAAUUUCGAACACUAGGCAAUCACACAAACAUAUAGUUAUGAUGCAUUUUGAAGCUAAACUGCAAGGGCAUAAAAUGAUUGUGUACUAGAUUUCCUGGUGUUUAAAAUGCAUGCAUGACACGUAAGCACACACAGAGAAUAAAAACAUAUCCAUACAUCCAUAUCCAUGGAGAAUUGUGUUCAAUGAAAAAUUGAAAAAUACAUGCAAAUGUAAAUGUGA